AGGAAAGGGCCCUGACAAGAGGAUGGGACUGCAGUUGUGGCUGCCAGGGCCCCGGCCAGGGUGAAAACAAGGAACAUUCCAGAGAAGAUCACAAGGAUGCGAAUAAAAUCGGAGCUGCACAGGGAUCUUUGGGCUGUAAUAGGAGGGGACACACAGGGGUUAGGGGAGGGUCUAGCCCUUGGCUCCCUCAGCCCAGCCCUCCUGUCACCUUGCCUCUCCCCUUUCCCCCACCUUAUUCUAUCCCACCCGCCACCGUUGGCCAACUCCUCUCCUAAACAGUGGACUCUGCUUUUUCCCCUCCUCUUAUCCCUAAUCCUAGGAGCUUUCUGUCUGGCUUCCCUCCUGGCCCCUCGUGUAUGCAUUCUCUCUAGCGGUGGGGAUUAAGGAGAAAACUCACGUGGCCAGUGGGUAGAGAGAGUCCGGGCAGGCAGCUGCCUGAAGUCAGCCAGAGUCUGCAUGUGCCCAGCUGUCCUGGCCUCCAGCAUCUCUGGAAAAACAGAGACAGAAUGAGUAGCAGCAGGGGACCCCAUAGGGCACAUCUGAAGGCCUGAGAGGUGCUGGAUGGGAUGGGAAGGCAGAAACAGGCUGACCUUAUCUAGGGGUAGGAGUGGGGAGUACUGGUUGGGGUAUCACCGCUACCCCACGUGAUGGCACAGAGAGUUGCCUGGAACUUACCACUGACAUAAGAGUCUUGCUUUGUCGCCCAGGUUGGAGUGCAGUGGCACGAUCUCGGCUCAGUGCAACCUCCGCCUCCUGAGUUCAAGUGAUUCUCCUGCCUCAGCCUCCCUAGUAGCUGGGAUUACAGGUAGACCCAGUGUAAUCACAAGCAUCCUUGUAAGUGGCAAAGAGGCAGAGGAGACAGCGCCAGAGAGGCAGCUGCAUGAGAAGGAUCAAGAUGUUGCUGACUUUGAAGUUGGAAGAAGAAGGCCAUGAGCCUCAGUAUGUGGGCGGCUUCUAGAAGCUGGAAGGGGCAAGGAGAUGGAUUUGACCCUUCAGCCUCCAGGGGCAGCUGUACCUGCCAUCACUGAUUGUAGCCUGGUGAGGCCUGUUUUAGACUUCUGACCUGUAGAGCUGUAACAUAAUACAUUUGGGUUGUUUUCAACCACUAAGUUUGUGGUAAUUUGUUGUAGCAGCUGUAGAAAAUGAAUACAUAUGAAUCCUCUGGCAUUUGUUUGAGAUUUGCUCUAUGGCCUAGUAUGUGGUUGUAAAUGUUCCAUCUGUGCCUGAAAAAAUGUAUAUUUCUAAUUCAGUAGUCUCUGCUUUUUUUUUUUAUUUUGUACCCCAUCAAUAAAAUGAUUUUCAGCAUGUAUCCCCAAAUAAACAAUAUUUUAUUUAUUGAUUGAUUGAUAAACAGACAUGUUUAAUGAUAGCUUGCUUUUCACAGAGGUGACUUCGGAGACUUCUAAUCUAUAAUCCAGGAGUAUAUAACCAUGCAGCACAGACCAAUUAGUCACAUGUAAAAUAAACUAGAUUCUUACCAC
rnacentral:lncRNA from 1 species